ensembl:lncRNA
CAUCUCUCUUCCGAGGACAGGCUGAGAGAGCUGGGCAUUGAGAAGAGAAGGCUGUGAGGGACAAAGAGAAAAAACGGUUUCAAUCUGCUGAUAAAACGAAUGUGAUCUAACCUUGCUAUCUGCUUCAGGAUGGUCUGAAUUGCAACCUAUGUGACACUGCAUAACAUUAAGAAAGCGAACAAAUGCAGAAUGGUUCUUCUGAAAUAUUACUACAGUCAGGAAGAAGAACCAUUUUCAGCAGCAAGUAUGAGACUAAAAUGAUGAAAGGACAAAAGAUGUGGAGAGAAGGAAGAGCUCAGAAGGAGAGCAUCCAGACCUCUGAUUCCUGUAGAGAUUCCGGUGACAUAAAUAAAGAAUCCAGAGUUGUUACAGCAGAAGCUCUCUAAGGGAGUGAUCAUCCCGGAGGAACUUUAAAGGGAUGCAUAUGUUUUGUUUUUUUUCCUUGACAACACAAUUCAUCUGCUAAGUAUUACAUUUCCAUAGCAACAUAAAUGUACUUAAUGAAACAACUCCUUUUUGCACAAAUGAAGGUUAAGGACUCCAGCUGCCUGAGUACGCUGAUGUAGAG